rnacentral:rRNA from 1 species
AGCGAACGCUGGCGGCAGGCUUAACACAUGCAAGUCGAGCGGGCGUAGCAAUACGUCAGCGGCAGACGGGUGAGUAACGCGUGGGAACGUACCUUUUGGUUCGGAACAACACAGGGAAACUUGUGCUAAUACCGGAUAAGCCCUUACGGGGAAAGAUUUAUCGCCGAAAGAUCGGCCCGCGUCUGAUUAGCUAGUUGGUGAGGUAACGGCUCACCAAGGCGACGAUCAGUAGCUGGUCUGAGAGGAUGAUCAGCCACAUUGGGACUGAGACACGGCCCAAACUCCUACGGGAGGCAGCAGUGGGGAAUAUUGGACAAUGGGGGCAACCCUGAUCCAGCCAUGCCGCGUGAGUGAUGAAGGCCCUAGGGUUGUAAAGCUCUUUUGUGCGGGAAGAUAAUGACGUUACCGCAAGAAUAAGCCCCGGCUAACUUCGUG